CAGUACAACAUGAUUCAGAAGGUCUCUGUAACUAAUAAUGAAAAGGAAGAAGAAGAGAGGUGGCAGCGGCCCAGCCAGGGCAAAGCAAAGGCCAGUGCAUGCCAAGGCAAGAAAGAGAGAAGGGUUGAGUCUUCUACAGUUUUCUCUUAAUAAUUUUGACCCAUCCAGCUGUAUUGAAAUGAUAUGUACGAAAUUGUUGAAAAGGUCUCAUCUCCUUCCUCAAUUUGAAAGCCCAGAAAUUCUAUAUUUUGCUGCCCUAAAUCUACACCUCAGCCUGCUUCUAGAUUCGCAGUGUUUUUCGCUUGCAGAAUUAAAGGCUAAAAGCGGAUCAAGAUUGAAGAAGAAGCUCUAUUCAUCGAUACAGGAGAUGGAAAUCAAGUAAUGGAAAACUUGAAUUCAAGCUUCAACCGAACGUGUUAAGGAUUGAGUUUUUUCCAUAAACAAAUCAAGUUUAAACGAUCCCAAUAUUCAAGUCUAAGUUAGAAUUUGUUUGAAUUUGAUUUAGAUCGAGUUCAAACCCUAAGUUAUAUGUGAUGGUAUGGAUCUGUAUUUGGAA